UCCGGUUUGUCACCGGCAGUCUCAUUAGAGUGCCCAACUAAAUGUAGCAACUAAUGACAAGGGUUGCGCUCGUUGCGGGACUUAACCAAACAUCUCACGACACGAGCUGACGACGGCCAUGCAUCACCCGUCACUGCGGCCCGAAGGCACUUUAUCCUUUCGGAUAAAUUGGCAGGAUGUCAAACCCUGGUAAGGUUCUUCGCUUUGCAUCGAAUUAAACAACACGCUCCACCGCUUGUGCGGGUCCCCGUCAAUUCCUUUAUGUUUUAAGCUUGCGCUCGUACUCCACAGGCGGCAUGCUUAACGCGUUAGCUUCGCUACUACGGGGGUCGAUACCCAUAACAGCUAGCAUGCAUCGUUUACGGCGUGGACUAC
rnacentral:misc_RNA from 1 species